rnacentral:rRNA from 1 species
GGCGUACCUUUUGCAUCAUGGGCCUGCGAGUUGCCCUGUGUCGCGAGGUUAAGCCGCGAGGUGUAGCCGAAGGGAAACCGAGUCCUAACUAGGGCGAAUGAGUGGCACGGGACAGACCCGAAACCUAGUGAUCUAUCCUUGAGCAGGCUGAAGCGCGGGUAAUACCGCGUGGAGGGCCGAACCCACCAUAGUUGAAAAUAUGGGGGAUGACUUGAGGAUGGGAGUGAAAGGCUAAUCAAACUGGGGAGAUAGCUGGUUCUCCGCGAAAUAUAUUGAGGUAUAGCCUCGGACGAAUUGCACCGGAGGUAGAGCACUGAUUGGGCUAGGGGUCUUACCAGAUUACCAAACCCACUCAAACUCCGAAUGCCGGUGACAACUAUCCGGGAGACAGGCUGCGAGUGAUAAGAUCCGUAGCCAAAAGGGAAAGAGCCCAGAUCGACAGCUAAGGUCCCAAAAUCCAGGCUAAGUGUGGAAGGAUGUGGGAGCGCUCAGACAGCCAGGAGGUUGGCUUAGAAGCAG